AUCCCUGGCGAAUGACGCAAGUCGUUUGGAUGAGACGGAUGGAACUCCUAUACCAUUUGCUUCUUGGACACGGGGAAAUGUUCCAUCGUGAAUGAAAGUCCUCGACGCAGCCCGAGGUUCCGUUCUUUGUGCUGGAGGGCCUCGUGGAGGUAUUGAGUUCCCCGUAUCCAUCAUUUCGGACGAGCCGGGACCUCGGAGGAGCGCCGGCAGCGAUGUCUCCGCUAGCCAGCCGUAACUGACUCGGAGUGCAUUGUUUCCAGCGGGAAGCUCAGCGCCGUGGCCUAAAGGGCCGAAGAGCCUGUUGUGGAUCAGCCAGCCAGACAGUCCACGGUCAGCAGCUGCGGAGCACCUCUGCAAGCAGCUGUUUCUUCUCAGAGACCCAACCUCCCUCCACGGAUGCAACACAAAACAGAGUGUAAUGUCGAUGCUGUUCUUUGUCCGUGAAGACCGUUCUGACAGAAAGAGCCAACAUAAGGUAAUUUGAACACACACACGCACACAAAUCAAGAUUAGAC